GGAGAUGUGGCUCAGUGGUAGAGUGCUCGCCUAGAACAUGUGAGGCCCUGAGUUCAAUCCUCGGCACCA
rnacentral:tRNA from 1 species